GGGCUUUUCAUUCAAUGUCUCUCUGUCUCUUCAAAUAGCAAAGGUUAAACAAGUCAAGAGGUGUCAAGAGAAGAUUCUGGAGCACACUAAGUAGAAAGAGUUUUACAACAUGCAUUCGGCAACCAUAAGCAACUAAAACAGGAGGUGGAAUAUCUAUUUUUCUGCAUCAUCUACAGUGCUUCAGAGGAGGACUGGGACUGCUUUUAGUGUGAGAACUCUAAAAUUCCAACAAAUAUGAACACUCUGUGCCCCUUAUUGCCUCUUUGCUUAUCCACUAAUUGGUGAGACUUGCUGCAUUUUCCAUAAAGAUGUUGAAGCAGUUUGGACCACCAUGGUAACAUUGUCCUGCUUAUCAGCUGUUUGUCCAGUCCUGGAGAAGCAUCAUUGUUGUCCAUCAAAAGGCUGAUCACUUUGAGAGGACAGUAUGAACAAAUUCACUAAGGUUUCAUCUGAGCAAGACAGAGCUGAUGCUGAAGAAGGAAUCUCCAGGAACAUGAAUAUCCUGGGGGGAAGAGAGAUUUCAUUUCUUAGAGAGCAUUUGCCUAUUUUUCCACA